rnacentral:rRNA from 1 species
UACGAGGGGGGCAAGCGUUGUUCGGAAUUAUUGGGCGUAAAGGGUGCGUAGGCGGUUUGGCAAGUCUAGUGUGAAAUCUUCGGGCUCAACUCGAAGUCUGCACUGGAAACUGCCGGGCUUGAGUAUGGGAGAGGUGAGUGGAAUUUCCGGUGUAGCGGUGAAAUGCGUAGAUAUCGGAAGGAACACCUGUGGCGAAAGCGGCUCACUGGACCAUUACUGACGCUGAGGUACGAAAGCUAGGGGAG